AGUGAACGCUGGCGGUAGGCCUAACACAUGCAAGUCGAACGGCAGCACAGUAAGAGCUUGCUCUUACGGGUGGCGAGUGGCGGACGGGUGAGGAAUACAUCGGAAUCUACUUUUUCGUGGGUGACAACGUAGGGAAACUGACGCUAAUACCGCAUACGACCUACGGGUGAAAUCAGGGGAUCUUCAGACCUUGCUCGAUUGAAUGAGCCGAUGUCGGAUUAGCUAGUUGGAGGGGUAAAGGCCCACCAAGGCAACGAUGCGUAGCUGGUCUGAGCGGAUGAUCAGCCACACUGGAACUGAGACACGGUCCAGACUCCUACGGGAGGCAGCAGUGGGGAAUCUUGGACAAUGGGCGCAAGCCUGAUACAGCCAUACCGCGUGGGUGAAGAAGGUCUUCGGGUUGUAAAGCCCUUUUGUUGGGAAAGAAAAGCAGCAGGUUAAUACCCCGCUGUUCUGACGGUACUCAAAGAAUAAGCAACGGCUAACUUCGUG
rnacentral:rRNA from 1 species